GCACCAUGACUGCAACACAAUAGCAAUCCUCUCACACCUGCAAAACACAAAUAUAUAUGAUUUAAAAAAAACCAUGAUUAAGUCUGGAAAAAAUUAAAUUCUAGAGACGUGUGAAUCUGCAUCU